rnacentral:rRNA from 1 species
UUGAUGACGACCGGCGCACGGGUGAGUAACGCGUAUACAAUCUGCCUCAUACUAGGGGAUAGCCCAGAGAAAUUUGGAUUAAUACCCUAUAGUAUCAUUUAGAGUCAUCUCUUUUUGAUUAAAGGUUACGGUAUGAGAUGAGUAUGCGUUCUAUUAGUUAGUAGGUGAGGUAACGGCUCACCUAGACCGCGAUAGAUGGGGGCCCUGAGAGGGGGAUCCCCCACACUGGUACUGAGACACGGACCAGACUCCUACGGGAGGCAGCAGUGAGGAAUAUUGGACAAUGGGCGAAAGCCUGAUCCAGCCAUGCCGCGUGCAGGAUGACGGCCCUAUGGGUUGUAAACUGCUUUUAUACAGGAAGAAAAAACUCUACGUGUAGAGUCUUGACGGUACUGUAAGAAUAAGGAUCGGCUAACUCCGUGCCAGCAGCCGCGGUAAUACGGAGGAUCCAAGCGCUAUCCGGAAUUAUUGGGUUUAAAGGGUCCGUAGGUGGACAAUUAAGUCAGAGGUGAAAUCCUGCAGCUCAACUGUAGAAUUGCCUUUGAAACUGGUUGUCUUGAGUCAUUAUGAAGUGGUUAGAAUGUGUAGUGUAGCGGUGAAAUGCAUAGAUAUUACACAGAAUACCAAUUGCGAAGGCAGAUCACUAAUAAUGUACUGACACUGAUGGACGAAAGCGUGGGUAGCGAACAGGAUUAGAUACCCUGGUAGUCCACGCCGUAAACGAUGGUUACUAGCUGUUCGGACUUCGGUCUGAGUGGCUAAGCGAAAGUGAUAAGUAACCCACCUGGGGAGUACGUUCGCAAGAAUGAAACUCAAAGGAAUUGACGGGGGCCCGCACAAGCGGUGGAGCAUGUGGUUUAAUUCGAUGAUACGCGAGGAACCUUACCAGGCUUAAAUG